CUCAUCUACAACAUUUGAACUCUGAGAACAGUCUCGGGCAGAAAAUAUACUGAAGAGCUCAGUCAAAGUCAGCUGUUGAAGAUAGCUCUAUGCAGGUACCUGUGGCAUGCAGCACAACCUACCCGUAAUGGAGCACAGUGCUACACGGGGAGGCAGUGACCAGCAGUUGAAACCAUGGACAGAUUAAGGGAGACAGAAGAAGAGGAGAAUGAGUGUGCAGAACUGCAAGAAGAAUCCUUGCCUGAUUCAAAAACAGCUGUGCAAGACUUCAGCAAAGCAGCACUUCAGAUUUUUUUUGCAGGCCCAAGUGGAACCACCUCCUUGAACUCAUUAAGAUCUGAGUAGUCUCUCAGCUGUCAGCAAAAGAGACAAGAGGUCAUUAGAAGUAGACAAGGAGACAAAUAAUUGAAAACGUCCAUUAGCACUUCCUUUCUGUACGUUUGCUUUCUCACUAAAAGCAGGAGUGACAAUCAGAAAGAUCAAAACAAUGGAAAGGGAGUACAAGAGAUGCAAUGACAGAGAAACUAAUACAACGGAAAGAUGUUACAAUGGAAGGAAAAAGGACUGC
ensembl:lncRNA